UAAUACGCAUCGUAUAGGCCUAUACGAUACGUAUUAGUACUAGGUUGUCCUUCAAAGCUGACAGCUAGGGUUCACAUGCUACCCCAAUACGAAUCGUAUAGGCCUAUACGAUCCGUAUUAUAGUACAAGGUUGCUUUCUGUCACUUAAAGGUGACAUAAAGUGAUUGACGUCAGCCCUAUACGGGUCGUAUAGGCCUCUACGACUCGUAUUGAAUUGUGAAAUUGCAUUUUGUUCCCAUAUUUAAGCGAUGAAGGAAGACGAGGGUGAAUCGUUAUAUCAUCUUCGUUUUUUCUUUACAUUCGCUUACAACAUGUCUUGGUUCAACCUUAAUCACAUUUUCGGCAACUCGUCCGACACAAACACAAGCUCGUUUACUCCAGAAAGCAAAGUGGUAUAGCAUUUUUUAACUUGUUUUGUUUUUUUUUAUGAAAUACUUAUGUACCACCUCGUUAAAUUAUGUCGAAUAAUAUAGUGACACGUGUCCACUCUCAAAUAAGCCUAAUAAUUUGGACGAGAGGGACUAAUUUUGUCAAAUUAUGAAAAUUUAAAUGUGGAGGGACCUGAUAUGUCAACAUGCCAUUUUAUGGCCUCUGAGUGACCCCAUACGGACCGUAAGCCUAUGUGCUUACGGACCGCAAGCAUAUAUUUAUUUUUACACCUGGACAUCAUAUACGGACCGCAAGACCUUUGUCCUUACGGUCCGUAAAAUUUGAAAACCAGGGGCGCGCAGUGGGCCUUGGACCCAUACGGUCCGUAAGCACUGCGGCUGGCUAUUUUGUUUGGGAGCCAAGGCAUUAUGCCCUUUGUGCCAUCUAUCUCGCGAAUUUGAGCUCUUGUGCAGCUCAUGCCACAUCCAUAGACACCUGCUAUGAUCUCCUAACACCCCUGGACACUUGUAUUAAUCCUAUGCAUUCUCUACAAGUAUAAAAGGGCAAGUUUUGCAACCUUUGCAACUUGCUCAUUUUUUUAUCACUUCCUCUAUCUCUUAUUCCGGAGCUCAUGGUCAAAAAGGACCUCCUAACUAGCUGUAUGUACUUGGUUCAAGUACUCUCUCUCCAAGCUAGCUGUAUGUACUUGGUUCAAGUUUUAAUUUUAGUUUUGUGGGUUUAUGUCCCUUUAUAAACUCUUUGUUGUGUUUAUCUCUACCGGCAACUCAACUUCUCUAUGACCGCCACUGUCGGCACUCUCCCUCUCUCUCUGCUCCACCACCAUCACCGCCAAUGACCACGGGUGCAACCAGAUCUGGUUUUCGAAUAUUUGUUCAGGCGUGCAACCUUUUUCUACUGAAGGUUUCAAUCUGCUCAAGGCCCCAGAUCCGUAAAAUGUAUGAUCUCAAUGGUCAGGUUUAUAAAAUUUGUGUUUUAUUUUGUUUAAUUUUAAAGAUGGAUCUACAAAAGUUUUGGGUCCAAACUGUUCUUUGUUGUUUUAUGUUCGAGUCAUUUAAGCUCCAGAUCUGCAAAACAUGUUGGUUGUUUUUUUUCUUCAUCAUUUGGUAUGUGUAUGAUUUUGAGUCAAUUGAUUUUAAAGGUAAAGGUUCCGAUCUGCAAAAGACUCCUAAAUUCGUGUUUGUUUUUGAAGUUUUACUCCAAAUGGUUGUUUGGAAACUUUGUUUAUGCAUAGCCAUCAAAUAAUUUGUUUUUACUCUUUUUGGUUAUUUUGGACAGAUGAUGUCAUUCUUCUUCAAUCAUCGCUACCAAUGUUUUCAUGACCGGACCGGAGGUCGACCCAGUCUCCUUACCGGGUCAAAGGUCGGACCGGUUCGACCGGUCCAACAGGAUUCAAGAUCAAAAAAAACUUUUAAGUGAAUUUAAGAUAUAAAGAUGUAUAAUGGAUUUAAAGUGAAAAAUAAAAUAAACAAAAAUAAAAGGAUGGCAUUUUUGUAAUCUGAAAGUCUGCAAAAAGCAUGUAUUUACUGCAAAACUACCAUGCAAAACCAUUGACUUGAACAACACAUGGUUUUUAACCAUCCAUACCUGAUUAAAACAACUAGAGUUUAAAACCAGAAGCUCAUGGAAAAGAAGAUAUUGCUAGAAACUACGGAACAGAAGAUGUCGCCGGAAACUAAAAGCUUAUCGGAACGUUGAAAAGAAGACCGGCCCGCUGAAAAUGUAAAAAAACGAAGAGCCGGCCCGACCCUUUGUGAAGAACCGCCGGCCCGACCGCCCAGAUCCCGGCCUGACCCCCGGGUCAAUGUUGAAACGGCCUAACUAGCUGAACCGGCCCACUGUACCUUUCAGAUCCCGGUAACAAACACUGGAAAUUUAUUUUGGAAACAGAAACGCGACAAAGGAGAUGAAGAGCUUCUACUUAUCACCCAUAGAUAGCAUUCCAUACUCGAGUUCUGGGAACAUACUUGAGGUGGUUGUAGGUGACAUGAGUUACGAGAACAGCCUCGCACUCAUGUUUGGUGACGCCCAAAGACUUACCGUCACAACAAACGAGUCAUACAAAGAGCUCAUAAGGAAAUAUGAAUUUGGAAAAUACCAUUUGUCAUCUCUCAUCACACAUGGAGCUAAAGUAAUCUUCGAGGUGGACAUUGAAGAACUGGAGAAAGAUACAAGAGUGAAUGGAGUAAAAUAUGCCACAGUCGAAAUCAACCAGCCCCACGCUGGGACUUUCGGAAGGGAAAACACCCACAAAAGAAAAACCGAGACCAUGUUCGAUCAUUCUUCAAAAUGGCUGGUAACCUGAUGUGCGUAUCAAUCACAAGGAUAAGGGCUCUUAUGCGCUUUGGGAGGUGCAAAAACUAGCUUUGGAAUAGGGGCUCUAUCUAGAUAAAAAGACAAGUUUUCCAACAUGGGAUUUCCCUUUCUAUGUUAAUUGAAAAUGAGCUGGAAAGUAUCCCGAGCUUGGUCACAGAGAGGCCCCCCUCCCUGUGACGAGGCUAACGGUGUGUUUGUUUCCUUGUGAUCUUGCAGGUUCUUGCUAGGUCGUCUAAAGCUUAACUCUAGCCAGGUCGGACUGACUGGUUCUUGAGUCUUCAAUGAUCUUUUAGGACCACAUUAUAUAUUCCAAAAGGUGUGUUCGGUUACUUUAACUUGGUUUUCACAUGUCACGGCCUGCACGAAUCACUUCUUCCAGAAAAGUAGCAGAUUUAAUGCAAUUAUCGGGCUACAAAAAACCACAAAACUCAUUCAAAGAUCAAAUAUAUUCCAAAAAGUGUGUUCGGUUUCUUUGGGUUUUAAACUAUUUGUCUAUUUGCAUACCCUGAUCUGAUGAUCUGGUACUUGACAGCAUAGUUGUCAAAAAUGCCCUCAUUCUCAGGGUCAAUUAGGUCCCCCGUGCGCUGAUUUAGUCCAACAACAUUCCCAUUGUCAUGCUCUCCCUAUAUAAUCAGUUAAAGUGAGAUCAUAUUAUCAUAAUACACUUAACAUAUCAUACAAUACCCAAAAAGGAGUCAAAAGGUAUCGAAGACUCAACAGUCAAAGAAAUUAUGACGUCUUGCGUGUCACGUCCAGAAUUUUCAGCCAAUGACUUUGGCACAAAGAGGAGGGCAUCCGCAAAGGCUUGAACACCAACUUGAGCACGCUAGUCACAAAAAUAAACCA